AGAGUUUGAUUAUGGCUCAGAUUGAACGCUGGCGGCAGGCCUAACACAUGCAAGUCGAGCGGAAACGAAGGUAGCUUGCUACCAGGCGUCGAGCGGCGGACGGGUGAGUAAUGCUUGGGAAUAUGCCUGGAAGUGGGGGACAACAGUUGGAAACGACUGCUAAUACCGCAUAAUGUCUACGGACCAAAGUGGGGGACCUUCGGGCCUCGCGCCAAAAGAUUAGCCCAAGUGAGAUUAGCUAGUAGGUGAGGUAAAGGCUCACCUAGGCGACGAUCUCUAGCUGGUUUGAGAGGAUGAUCAGCCACACUGGGACUGAGACACGGCCCAGACUCCUACGGGAGGCAGCAGUGGGGAAUAUUGCACAAUGGGGGAAACCCUGAUGCAGCCAUGCCGCGUGUGUGAAGAAGGCCUUAGGGUUGUAAAGCACUUUCAGUCGGGAGGAAAGGGUAAGUCUUAAUACGGCUUAUCUGUGACGUUACCGACAGAAGAAGCACCGGCUAACUCCGUGCCAGCAGCCGCGGUAAUACGGAGGGUGCGAGCGUUAAUCGGAAUUACUGGGCGUAAAGCGUUCGUAGGCGGUUAUUUAAGCAAGAUGUGAAAGCCCAGGGCUCAACCUUGGAACUGCAUUUUGAACUGGGUAACUAGAGUACUGUAGAGGGUGGUGGAAUUUCCAGUGUAGCGGUGAAAUGCGUAGAGAUUGGAAGGAACAUCAGUGGCAAAGGCGGCCACCUGGCAAGUAACUGACGCUCAGAUGCGAAAGCGUGGGUAGCAAACGGGAUUAGAUACCCCGGUAGUCCACGCCGUAAACGAUGUCUACUAGCCGUUGGGAAACUUGAUUUCUUAGUGGCGCAGCUAACGCGAUAAGUAGACCGCCUGGGGAGUACGGUCGCAAGAUUAAAACUCAAAUGAAUUGACGGGGGCCCGCACAAGCGGUGGAGCAUGUGGUUUAAUUCGAAGCAACGCGAAGAACCUUACCCGCUCUUGACAUCCACAGAACUUUCCAGAGAUGGAUUGGUGCCUUCGGGAACUGUGAGACAGGUGCUGCAUGGCUGUCGUCAGCUCGUUUUGUGAAAUGUUGGGUUAAGUCCCGUAACGAGCGCAACCCUUGUCCUUAUUUGCCAGCACGUAUGGUGGGAACUCUAGGGAGACUGCCGGUGACAAACCGGAGGAAGGUGGGGACGACGUCAAGUCAUCAUGGCCCUUACGACCAGGGCUACACACGUGCUACAAUGGACGGUACAGAGGGUUGCCAAGCCGCGAGGUGGAGCUAAUCCCAUAAAACCGUUCGUAGUCCGGAUUGGAGUCUUCAACUCGACUCCAUGAAGUCGGAAUCGCUAGUAAUCGUGAAUCAGAAUGUCACGGUGAAUACGUUCCCGGGCCUUGUACACACCGCCCGU
rnacentral:rRNA from 1 species